rnacentral:rRNA from 1 species
AGAGUUUGAUCAUGGCUCAGAACGAACGCUGGCGGCGUUAACACAUGCAAGUCGCGUGCGCAGUUUCCGUAGCAAUACGGGGAUGGGNNCACGGCGCACGGGUGCGUAACACGUGGGCAAUCUGCCCUCCGAUGGGGGAAUACCCCCGCGAAAGCGGGACUAAUUCCGCAUAACAUUCCUUGGAUUAACUUUCGAGGAUUCAAAGCAGCAAUGCGUCGGAGGAGGAGCCCGCGCCCGAUUAGCUAGUUGGUGAGGUAACGGCUCACCAAGGCAAUGAUCGGUAGCUGGUCUGAGAGGAUGGCCAGCCACACUGGAACUGAGACACGGUCCAGACUCCUACGGGAGGCAGCAGUGGGGAAUCUUGCACAAUGGGCGAAAGCCUGAUGCAGCGACGCCGCGUGGGGGAUGAAGCUUUUCGGAGUGUAAACCCCUUUCGACUGGGACGAAUGCCUCGCAAGAGGAGUGACGGUACCAGUAUAAGAAGCCCCGGCUAACUACGUGCCAGCAGCCGCGGUAAGACGUAGGGGGCCAGCGUUGUUCGGAAUUACUGGGUGUAAAGGGUUCGUAGGCGGUGUGGCAAGUCGGGAGUGAAAUCUCUGGGCUCAACCCAGAGACUGCUUCCGAAACUGCUGUGCUUGAGUGUGAGAGAGGCUCGUGGAAUUGCAGGUAGCGGUGAAAUGCGUAGAUAUCUGCAGGAACACCCGUGGCGAAAGCGGCGAGCUGGAUCACUACUGACGCUGAGGAACGAAAGCUAGGGGAGCAAACAGGAUUAGAUACCCUAGUAGUCC